UCGCGAGGUUCCUCAUAUUUUCCGAGUCCAUGUGAUGAUCAGUACCUUGGAAUUUUGAAGAUUCUUUUCUCUCUGGAUAUGUCAAUUGCUCUGAAACCUUUGCUGGAGCAACUAUCCUCACUCUAGGUAUACGACAAUUAAAAUAUAUUGAUCAAUACAAAAUGGAAUAUGAAACAAAACAUGUUCUAGUUGAUAUUAAGUUGUAUCAUUGAGGAAAGUUGCGGUAGCGAUUUCAAAUGACACCAUUAAUUGAAUUUCAAAUUUACCCAAAUAUUCUCUUUUGUAGAAUAUUGAACUCAUUCAAAUAAACUCAUGAUUGGCCGGGUUACGCUAAAGUUAAGAAAAAUAUGUAUGUAUUUAGACUAAAUACCCUUCCAUUUUUUUAGUGAAUAAUGAAGUGAUAACCAAGAGAGUUUAUGAACUAAUAUGCAUAAAGUCGAAAAAGAUGUAACUGAUGCAUCAUAAUCGGAAUGCUGAUCUGACAGUAUGGAACAAAAAUAAUUUUUUCUAAAGCAACGGCAUAAAAAAUUGAAAUGGAGGGAGGGAAGAAUUUGAUGGCUAAGUAAUUUAUGGAGUUUUGAAUAAGGAAUCGAGUAAAAACCUGGUCUCAAUCUGGCAAAUGUAUUCAAGAAGAUGAGGAUUAAAUUCUGUGACACCACUGAAAAAAUAGUAGAAGAAACAACUAAUUAAAUUCAUGAUUAUAUAUCCACAUAAGUUAAUUUAAUGAAAAAUUCUUAAAAAAAUUCACCUAAGGUUUACGAGGGACAACUUCAUUUGGGGACUGAUGAUAAACCUACUGAGGUCCCAGUCGGAUGUUGCUUCUCUCAUUUAACAAAAACCAAUAUCAGUAUUAAAAAAAAAAAAAAGGAAUUUGAAAUGAAUAAAUAAAUAAAGCAAGUAGAAUUUUUUGGCCAUACCUGCAGUUUUAAUGCUAAUAUUCCAAGAAUUUGUAGCUCCAUCAUUCUUACUUUCUCUUAUUUGUAUGUCUUUGUAAUAUCUAGGCAAGUUA
rnacentral:lncRNA from 1 species